rnacentral:rRNA from 1 species
GACAGAGGUGGCGAGCGUUGUUCGGAAUCACUGGGCUUAAAGGGCGCGUAGGCGGUUGCGUAAGUCUGAGGUGGAAGGCUGGGGCUUAACCCUGGAAUUGCCUUGGAAACUGCAUGACUUGAGUCAGUAAGGGGAGGGUAGAAUUCCCGGUGUAGCGGUGAAAUGCGUAGAUAUCGGGAGGAAGGCCUGUGGCGAAGGCGGCCCUCUGGUGCUGGACUGACGCUGAGGCGCGAAAGCGUGGGGAGCAAACAGG